CUGCAAGUGACUUCAAUUUACAAUGAAAACGUGAUCUCUUCGAGGCAUGGAAGAUUUUGGCCUGUUGGUUUCGUACGAUUCGCUAAUUCAAUUUGUUCAACUUUGGAAGGGUUGGAAGGUAUUUGUUAUACCCGAGACCAAUGCAAUGGUAUAAAAGGAGGAGUCAUUUCUGGGACUUGUGCUAAUGGAAUUGGCAGAUGUUGUUUAGUACAAAAAACAUGUGGGACCACUUCGUCCUACAAUAAUACUUAUUUUGUUAGCUCCAACUACCCCAAUGGUAACACAGCUCCAACACAAUGUGUCCAUACAAUCAGAAAAUGCAACUCAGGGAUUUGUCAAAUACGUUUAGACUUUUUGGCAUUAUCGCUGGAACAGCCAGAUGGAAACGGUAAUUGCAUAACUGAUUCAUUUCAAGUGGUUGGAGGUGCGUCCACUGUUCCUACA